rnacentral:ncRNA from 1 species
ACCAGAUGUUUUUUAUGACUGACAGGCUUCGGGUCUUUCAGGAUAUUGUUUUUGGUGGUGCAUGGCCGUUGGUGGUGCGUGGGUUGACCUGUCUAGCGUUGAUUCAGCUAACGAGCGAGAUUAUCGCCAAUUAUUUACUUUGCCGAAGUCCUUCGGUUAAAGUUCUAAUUGGGACUCCCUGCGAUUUUAGCAGGUGGAAGAGGGUAGCAAUAACAGGUCCGUGAUGCCCUUUAGAUGCUCUGGGCUGCACGCGUGCUACAAUGUUAGGAUCAAUAGGACUGCGAGCCUGAGAGGGUGCGCUACUCUUAUAAUCCCUAACGUAGUUGGGAUUGACGUUUGUAAUCAGCGUCAUGAACCAGGAAUCCCUUGUAAAUGUGUGUCAACAACGCACGUUGAAUACGUCCCUGCCCUUUGUACACACCGCCCGUCGCUCCUACCGAUUGGAUGACUCGGUGAAAUCACCGGAUGCUUACGAGCAGAAAGUGAUUAAAUCACGUUAUCUAGAGGAAGGAGAAGUCGUAACAAGGUAACGGUAGGUGAACCUGCCGUUGGAUCAGUU